rnacentral:rRNA from 1 species
AUUGAACGCUGGCGGCAUGCCUUACACAUGCAAGUCGAACGGUAACGGGCCUUCGGGUGCCGACGAGUGGCGAACGGGUGAGUAAUGCAUCGGAACGUACCUUUCAGUGGGGGAUAACGUAGCGAAAGUUACGCUAAUACCGCAUAUUCUGUGAGCAGGAAAGCAGGGGAUCGCAAGACCUUGCGCUGAUUGAGCGGCCGAUGUCAGAUUAGCUAGUUGGUGAGGUAAAGGCUCACCAAGGCGACGAUCUGUAGCGGGUCUGAGAGGAUGAUCCGCCACACUGGGACUGAGACACGGCCCAGACUCCUACGGGAGGCAGCAGUGGGGAAUUUUGGACAAUGGGGGCAACCCUGAUCCAGCCAUGCCGCGUGAGUGAAGAAGGCCUUCGGGUUGUAAAGCUCUUUCGGCCGGGAAGAAAUCGCACAGGCUAAUACCUUGUGUGGGUGACGGUACCGGAAUAAGAAGCACCGGCUAACUACGUGCCAGCAGCCGCAGUAA